GAGAACGUCAGCCUUCCUGCGAGCUGAUCAUUUCUGCAGUGUAUCUCACAGACAUUAAUAAUGUGGGAAUGUCAACAUCAGAAUAUAUUACCAAAAACAGGCAAUCAAAUAAGCUUCUUGAUUUUAAUAUGGAUUUUUCAUUCAGAAAAACACAAAGUUAAGAUAAAAUGAAAACUUACUCCAUUGCUCCUGUCUCAGUACUGAGUGGCAAAUGGGACUACGAUCUGACGAUCUGAUAGCAGCUGGAGUUAUGUACAUCAUUUCAGAUGCUCUUCAAAACAGAGUGGAUAUUCUGCAUCCUCUUCACUUCAUAAAAUGUUAUGAGCUUGGGCUCAUCUGCACUGACAAAUGUCUAAAUAUUUCUAUAGCAACACUACUGAGCCCAGCAGGAUUCACAGAAUUCACUACAGGGUGAUCAAGUGCUUUCAGCAGACAGGAUGAAAACUUGAUGUGACCGUGGGCAGCUCUAAGUUAUGCAAUCUUCACUCUUUACCAGAUGUUGCUAGAAGAAUUUCUCUUUUGUUUAAUAUCAACAAUAUUUUUCCCUUGACUUCACUCACUGCAGUCAUAUGUAAUCAUGUCAAUAUUAAAAUACAAAUGCCCAAACUACCUUUUGUAUUCAUCCGUAUUAGCCAAGGAUUAACAAAAUGGUAUAAAUAAAAAAAAAAAAAAAAGUAUAAGAGUGCA
rnacentral:lncRNA from 1 species